rnacentral:rRNA from 1 species
CCCUUAGAUGUUCUGGGCUGCACGCGCGCUACACUGAAGCUAUCAACACGUUUUCCCUCCCUGAGAAGGGCGGGUAACCUCUUGAAUCAGCUUCGUGGUAGGGAUCGGGGCUUGCAAUUGUUCCCCGUGAACCAGGAAUUCCUAGUAGACGCGAGUCAUAAGCUCGCAUCGAUUAAGUCCCUGCCCUUUGUACACACCGCCCGUCGCUACUACCGAUUGAACGUUUUAGUGAGGCAUUUGGACCGACGCAUCUCAGUUUAACCGCUGGUUUGUGUUGGAAAGACUUCCAAACUUGAGCGUUUAGAGGAAGUAAAAGUCGUAACA